ACAUGAAAUACAUCAUGAACGUUAGCCAACUCUGGGGCAAUGCUAAUUGGUAAGCAGCAGAUCCAAUUCUCUCCAAUAUUUCAAAUGGUCUAAUGAAGCAAGUGCUCAAUUUGUCUUUCUUUCCAAAUCUCAUAAGACCCUUCAUUGGUGACACUUUUAAGAAUACAUGAUCCCCUAUUUCAAAUUUCAAACUCCUUCUAUGAUUAUCUGCAUAACUUUUCUGUCUACUUUGGG
rnacentral:lncRNA from 1 species